rnacentral:lncRNA from 1 species
CUUUGUAUCUUGUAUCCAGGUCAGAUUCCCAGGUUUAGCGCUGCCCAACCCUCACCUGGAUCCUGUUUGGACUUCAGGUCCAGAGUCCAGGUCUAAUACCACACUGCAGGCAAUGUGAAAUAUAAACUGUGCAAACAAACUCAUAAAAAGCAAGUCUUCCAACCAACACAUUCAUCAGAGGAAGAAUCAUAACUGCCCAACAAAAGUUUAAUCUCUUCAUGCCUGUGAGCUGAAGGGCAUAAUCCUGGACCCACUGAAGAGGCAGCAACCAGCAAGUGAUGCCCAUGAGACACCCCACAGGGUGUGCCAAGACUGUGCAUCUCUCAACAUUUCCGUAUGUACGGAGGAUGGAAGAAGUCAGAUGCUACCUUAAAACAGGUGGGAUCUCUGCACCUACAGAGAAGUGAGGGAAUGAAGUGCAUCGAUUGCUUGCGAUUAUUAGCUAGAGUGGGAUAAGCCUUCUCCUUAUUAUGCAGAUUAGUGAAGCUCUCAGUUCCAAC